rnacentral:rRNA from 1 species
UACGUAGGGGGCAAGCGUUGUCCGGAAUCAUUGGGCGUAAAGAGCGUGUAGGCGGCCCGAUAAGUCCGCUGUGAAAGUCCAGGGCUCAACCCUGGGAUGCCGGUGGAUACUGUCGGGCUCGAGUCCGGAAGAGGAGUGUGGAAUUCCUGGUGUAGCGGUGAAAUGCGCAGAUAUCAGGAGGAAGACCAGUGGCGAAGGCGGGUCUCUGGACAGUUCCUGACACUGAGACACGAAGGCCAGGGGAGCAAACGGG